rnacentral:lncRNA from 1 species
UUGCGUUAUUUUGAAAACAAUUAUCAUUUUGGAAACGCGCCCUAGGUCUAACUCAUAUUGUUAUCAGAAAAAUAUAGGGUAUAAGAUAAAAUAAUCCCAAAAAAAAAUUAAAAUGGCCUUAUUACAACCCAAAACCAAAUAAUAAUAUUAAUAAGAUAAAACAUAUAAAGAAAGAAAUCGGCUACUUAUUGCAAUUAAAAGAAACAGAAAUAGUAGUGUGGCCAUCUCCGAGUCCCUCGCAGCUCCAAACCAUCUAAGCUUAGGAAUUACCUGCACAGUUAGAAACGGGGUGAGUUUACGAAAACUUAGUGUGUAAUCCCAAUAACAAACAAACAGUAAAUAACACGGUAUCAGUACAAUCUGGGCCAAAGCCUUAUUUAGUCUUGACAUAUAUUGGGCCGAAGCCUUUCGUUUAACGGUUACUGGGCCGAAGCCUUUUUAUAAAUCAUAUCACUGGGCCGAAGUGAUUUCAUAAAUCAUAUCACUGGGCCAAAGCCUUUUCAUAAAUCAUAUCACUGGGCCGAAGCCUUUACUGUAAACGGUAUGGCCCUUAGGCCCAUUUUAAUAUCACAUGUAAUGUCAAUGAAUGUAUGCAAGCCCAUUUCAAUAUCACAUGUAAUGUCAACGAAUGUAUGCAAGCCCAUUUGGGGAGACUACUCGACCCACCAUCCGCUACUCUCCACCUGUACCAACCAAGCUCUCCAUGUGGGGAAUAACUCAACCCACCUAACCAAACUCUCCACUGGCAGCAUAGCUACUUUAUCAUAUAACUGGAGGCCUAGCCUCUUUUAAUAACUGGGGCAAAGCCCUUUCUGAUAAACUAGGGCAAAGCCCUUUUCGGUAAACUGGGGCAGAGCCCUUUUAGCACUUCCUCCAUCAAUAUAACCCAUAUCCCAUGCAAUAUGUCAUGUAUGCAGAAUGUCAUGCCCAUAUUUGAAUCAAACAAUCAUAGUCAAGUCAUUCAUAUCACCAACAUAUAUUCACAAUCAAAUCCGUCAACCACACAGUCCAAGUCAGUCACUUGCCCACAAGGGCAAAACAGUCAUUUUUCAUAUUAUAAGGGUAUUUUCGUAAUUUUACCAAAAAUCAAGGUUUUCCAUGUUCAUUACAAUUGUCAAUAUUUCCGAGUGUUUAAACAAUGAUCUUUAACCCACUUAUCAAAUUCGGGGUUUUGGGCCCAAAACCCCUAAUGGGCCCUACGAAUGCUGAUUUAGCCCACUAAGCUUGCUUAACCCAAAUUUUACAAUAAUACUAACCGUGUUAACAUGCAACUUUUCCAAAUUCCAUUUUCUAUCAAUUUUACCCAAAUGGGCCCAAAAGCCCAUUUGGCUCAAUUCCAGCCCAUUGAGGCCCAACUUACCAUCAUGCACAAAAUUGAGUUCUUACCCGUUUCAUCGAUCCAAACAACGAUCUUAUCAUAUUUAUCGCAUCUAUACCCACACGCAACAUUACAAGUUCCAGAAAUGCCGGUAUUUUAGCAUUUCGACUUCUCAGCAGAUAUUAAUCUAAGUUACCACGAGGGUUAGUACACACCUAUUAUGGGUUGAAGUUGAAACGUUUCCAUAAUCAAUCACCUACGAUAACCACCACCUGUCACUCAAACUUAACUAAUCCAAUAUCAAUAUUUGUAAAUCCUAAGCACAUCAGUCAUACGGAACAAAGGGCAUAUUCGUCAUUUUACCAUACAAGGGUAUUACGGUCACUUUAUCCUAUAGGGGCUUUACGGUCUUUUUACCUAUUAGGGGUAUUUUAGUCAUUUCAUCCUACAAGGGUGUUUUGGUAAAUCUACAAACCAAGGGUAUUUCAAUAAUUUUGUAAACCAAUGGUAUUUCUAUAAUUUUUAGAAAGUCAAGGGUAUUUCUGUAAUUUUGUAAAUCAGGGGUAUUUUGGUAAUUUUACAAAUUGAAGGUAUUUCGAUAAUUUCACAAACCAGUGGUAUUUCGGUAAUUUUACAAACUAGGGGUAUUUUGGUAAUUCUAUCCUACAGGGGUAUUUCAGUAAUUUCACAAUCGAGGGUAAAAUGGUAAUUUUGUAAACUGAGGGUAAAAUGGUAAUUUUGUAAAUCGAGGGUAAAACAGUAAUCCUAUAAAUCGAGGGUAAAAUGGUAAUUCUAUAAAUUGAGGGUAAAAUGAUAAUUUUGUAAAUUGAGGGUAAAAUGGUAAUUCUGUAAAUCGAGGGUAAAAUGGUAAUUCUAUAAAUCGAGGGUAAAACGGUAAUUUUGUAAAUUGAGGGUGAAACGGUAAUUCUAUAAAUCGAGGGUAAAGUGGUAAUUCUACAAAUCGAGGGCAUUUCAGCAAUUUGGUAAACUAAAGUUUUCUAAACAGGGAUAACAAUACGAAUGGGCCUAAAGCCUAUUCUCGGCCCAAAUGGGCCCACACGCUCGUGUGGCCCUUUUAGCCCAAAUCUAGCCACAAAUAUGAGAUUCACCUAGCCUAGUCUAAUAUUUACUACACAAUCAAACAACUUAUCCAAUUGGGCCCGUAGGCCCAUUGGGCCCACAUGACCUCUUUCAGCCCAUCGCGGCCCGAAGUAGCCAUCCUAUAGCUAGAGUAGUGAGAAAUACACACCUGAUAGGAGACUAGAGUUAAUCCACGCUCCGAGCACUCUUAGCCGACGCCCAACCCAAACGAGCACGCCAUACAGCGAAAGGGAUCAUCCAAGAAAAGGU